rnacentral:rRNA from 2 species
CAAUAAGCGGAGGAAAAGAAACCAACAGGGAUUACCUCAGUAACGGCGAGUGAAGCGGUAACAGCUCAAAUUUGAAAUCUGGGCCCCUCGGGCCCCGAGUUGUAAUUUGUAGAAGAUGCUUCGGGUGCGGCGCCGGUCUAAGUUCCUUGGAACAGGACGUCAUAGAGGGUGAGAAUCCCGUAUGUGAUCGGCCGCUUGCGCCCGUGUGAAGCUCUUUCGACGAGUCGAGUUGUUUGGGAAUGCAGCUCAAAAUGGGUGGUAAAUUUCAUCUAAAGCUAAAUAUUGGCCAGAGACCGAUAGCGCACAAGUAGAGUGAUCGAAAGAUGAAAAGCACUUUGGAAAGAGAGUUAAACAGUACGUGAAAUUGUUGAAAGGGAAGCGCUUGCAACCAGACUUGCGCGUUGCCGAUCAUCCGGGGUUCUCCCCGGUGCACUCGGCCUCGCUCAGGCCAGCAUCGGUUUCGGUGGUGGGAUAAAGGCCUUGGGAAUGUAGCUUCUCUCGGGGAGUGUUAUAGCCCUCGGUGCAAUGCCGCCUACCGGGACCGAGGACCGCGCUUCGGCUAGGAUGCUGGCGUAAUGGUUGUAAGCGACCCGUCUUGAAACACGGACCAAGGAGUCUAACAUCUAU